CUUCGCUUCGCGCCUCAGAGGCCCCGUGUCCCUCCGCGCCUUCGCCGCUGCUCGGCGGCGCGGUGCCUGCGUAUCCCUCCGCACCUCAGUGCGCCUCGCGCCUCAGCAGCUAAGUGUCCCUCCGCGCGUCGCCGCCGCUGCCUGAGGCGCGGGCAGCUCCUCGGCGGCCUGCGGAGGCAGAGGCCCCGGCGCAGAUCUGUCGUUUGGUACUGUAUAUGCAAAGGAAGCAGCCAAAGAGCUGCAUGGGAGUCCAACUUACCAUGACUGACCUGUGUUUCACUUCGUACUGAGUCUGGUACAUCCUCUGUGGCUGCCUCCAGGUU
rnacentral:lncRNA from 1 species